AAAUUGAAGAGUUUGAUCAUGGCUCAGAUUGAACGCUGGCGGCAGGCCUAACACAUGCAAGUCGAGCGGAAACGAGUUAUCAGAACCUUCGGGGGACGAUAACGGCGUCGAGCGGCGGACGGGUGAGUAAUGCCUAGGAAAUUGCCCUGAUGUGGGGGAUAACCAUUGGAAACGAUGGCUAAUACCGCAUGAUGCCU
rnacentral:rRNA from 1 species